rnacentral:ncRNA from 1 species
GUAGCCUUGCGGGUUCGAGGUUCUCCGGCCGCCUAUUCAGUUCAGCCAGGCGGCAAGGAGCUAAGAAGGGAACGCGGUAAUGCCGCGGCUGCCCCCGCAACUGUACCGGUCAUGAUCGUUGCACAGCCACUGCCAAGCGCGGGAAGGCGCAACGAUGGCUCCCAAGAUAGACGUGGGAGCGCCGCAAGCCAGGAGACCUGCCUCGAUCCGGGCCAUGUG